rnacentral:rRNA from 1 species
AGCGGCGGACGGGUGAGUAACGCGUGGGAAUGUACCCUUCUCUAAGGAAUAGCCACUGGAAACGGUGAGUAAUACCUUAUACGCCCUUCGGGGGAAAGAUUUAUCGGAGAAGGAUCAGCCCGCGUUGGAUUAGAUAGUUGGUGGGGUAAUGGCCUACCAAGUCUACGAUCCAUAGCUGGUUUGAGAGGAUGAUCAGCCACACUGGGACUGAGACACGGCCCAGACUCCUACGGGAGGCAGCAGUGGGGAAUCUUAGACAAUGGGGGAAACCCUGAUCUAGCCAUGCCGCGUGAGUGAUGAAGGCCUUAGGGUCGUAAAGCUCUUUCGCCAGGGAUGAUAAUGACAGUACCUGGUAAAGAAACCCCGGCUAACUCCGUGCCAGCAGCCGCGGUAAUACGGAGGGGGUUAGCGUUGUUCGGAAUUACUGGGCGUAAAGCGCACGUAGGCGGACUAGUCAGUCAGAGGUGAAAUCCCAGGGCUCAACCCUGGAACUGCCUUUGAUACUGCUAGUCUUGAGUUCGAGAGAGGUGAGUGGAAUUCCGAGUGUAGAGGUGAAAUUCGUAGAUAUUCGGGGGAACACCAGUGGCGAAGGCGGCUCACUGGCUCGAUACUGACGCUGAGGUGCGAAAGUGUGGGGAGCAAACAGGAUUAGAUACCCUGGUAGUCCACACCGUAAACGAUGAAUGCCAGUCGUCGGGCA